UCUCAGUACAUACUGUAUUAAAGUGAAACCGCAAAAGGCUCAGUAAACCAGUUUUGAUUCACUUGAGUAAACUUGACUGUCUUUGGAUAACUGUGGUAAUUCUAGAGCUAAUACAUGCAACAAAGCCCUGACCUCCCAAGGAAAGGGCGCUUUUAUUAGAUCAAAACCAUUCGCCCGGCUCGCCCGGGCGUCUGCUUGAUGAACCUAGAUAAUACAUCAGAUCGUAUGGUCACCGAACCGACGACUUAUCUUUCAAAUGCCUGACUUAUCAACUGUCGAUGGUAGACUCUGUGUCUACCAUGGCUUCUACGGGUAACGGGGAAUCAGGGUUCGAUUCCGGAGAGGGAGCCUGAGAAACGGCUACCACAUCCAAGGAAGGCAGCAGGCACGCAAAUUACCCACUCCCGGCACGGGGAGGUAGUGACAAAAAAUAACGAUACGGGACUCUUAUGAGGCCUCGUAAUCGGAAUGAGAACACUUUAAAUCCUUUAACAAGGAUCCAUUGGAGGGCAAGUCUGGUGCCAGCAGCCGCGGUAAUUCCAGCUCCAAUAGCGUAUAUUAAAGUUGUUGCGGUUAAAAAGCUCGUAGUUGGUUCUGCGUGCCACGCUGUCGGUACACCGUUUGUCGGUGCAACUGGCAUGCCGUGGCAUGUCCUGUCGGUGGUGACCAGGUUCCCGGUGUAUCGAAGUUUUCUGAGGUACCCGCGGAUUCCCGGUUGCCGACUAUAUCCUACCGCGGUGCUCUUAAUUGAGUGUCGAGGUAGGCCGACACGUUUACUUUGAACAAAUUAGAGUGCUUAAAGCAGGCCAAAAUCUCUGCCUGAAUAGUGGUGCAUGGAAUGAUAGAACAGGACCUUGGUUCUAUUUUAUUGGUUUUCGGAACACGAGGUAAUGAUCAAUGUGGACAGGCGGGGGCAUUCGUAUUGCGACGUUAGAGGUGAAAUUCUUGGUUCUUCGCAAGACGCACUAGAGCGAAAGCAUUUGCCAAGUAUGUCUUAAUUGAUCAAGAACGAAGUAAACUCAUGACCUACCGCCCUAGUUCUAACCAUAAACGAUGCCAGCCAGCGAUCCGCCGAUGUUCCUCCGAUGACUCGGCGGGGAGCUUUCCCCGGGAAACCAAAGCUUUUGGGUUCCGGGGGAAGUAUGGUUGCAAAGCUGAAACUUAAAGGAAUUGACKGAAGGGCACCACAAGGAGUGGAGCCUGCGGUUUAAUUUGACUCAACACGGGAAACCUCACCAGGUCAGGACAUUGGAAGGAUUGACAGAUUGAUAGCUCUUUCUUGAUUCAGUGGGUAGUGGUGCAUGGCCGUUCUUAGUUGGUGGAUCGAUUUGUCUGGUUAAUUCCGAUAACGAACGAGACUCUAGCCUAUUAACUAGGCGUUUCUGGUAUCGUAGCUACCAGCGAAACAUAUUCUUCUUAAGGGGACAGGCGGCUUAAAGCCGCACGAGAUUGAGCAAUAACAGGUCUGUGAUGCCCUUAGAUGUCCUGGGCCGCACGCGCGCUACACUGAAGGAAUCAGCGUGUGAGUUCCCUUGGCCGAGAGGUCCGGGUAACCCGCUGAACCUCCUUCGUGCUAGGAAUUGGGGCUUGCAAUUGUUCCCCAUGAACGAGGAAUUCCCAGUAAGCGCGAGUCAUAAGCUCGCGUUGAAUACGUCCCUGCCCUUUGUACACACCGCCCGUCGCUACUACCGAUUGAAUGAUUUAGCGAGGUCUUCGGACUGGCGGUAAGCUUUUCCGACUUGUCGGUUUAGCUGAACGCUGGAAAGAUGACCAAACUUGAUCAUUUAGAGGAAGUAAUAGUCGUAACAAGGUUUCCGUAGUGAUG
rnacentral:rRNA from 1 species